rnacentral:rRNA from 1 species
CUUCGGGGCAUAGAGCACAGGUGCUGCAUGGCUGUCGUCAGCUCGUGUCGUGAGAUGUUGGGUUAAGUCCCGCAACGAGCGCAACCCCCGUCCUUAGUUGCUACCAUUUAGUUGAGCACUCUAAGGAGACUGCCGGUGAUAAGCCGCGAGGAAGGUGGGGAUGACGUCAAGUCCUCAUGGCCCUUACGGGCUGGGCUACACACGUGCUACAAUGGCGGUGACAAUGGGACGCUAAGGGGCAACCCUUCGCAAAUCUCAAAAAGCCGUCUCAGUUCGGAUUGGGCUCUGCAACUCGAGCCCAUGAAGUUGGAAUCGCUAGUAAUCGUGGAUCAGCAUGCCACGGUGAAUACGUUCCCGGGCCUUGUACACACCGCCCGUCACACCAUGGGAGUUGGUUUUACCUGAAGACGGUGCGCUAACCGAAAGGGGGCAGCCGGCCACGGUAGGGUCAGCGACUGGGGUGAAGUCGUAACAAGGUAGCCGUAGGGGAACCUGCGGCUGGAUCACCUCCUUUCUAAGG